ensembl:lncRNA
CGAGGGAAGGACCCGACUGGGCGAGGGGCGACACGUGGGCGGUCGCACCCCGUCUCGGCGGUGGGGGAGGGGGCGGUUGGCCGCGCGUCUCGGAGUCCCGGGUGCGCGGCGCAGAGCCGGGCGUGCGGUCCACGCGCAGCCGUGAUCCCAGGCCGAUGGGCGAGCGAGGCCAACGAGUUUCCAGCGGCGGGGGCUGGGACGGCGCCAGCGGGUGGUGGAGAGCGCGGCCCUGGGACCCCGGAGCCCCUUUACCCAGCAAACCAGGGCAAGAGGGGGGUGGACCCCCAGUAAUGCCGGGGUCUCCCCGAACUGGGCGGAAGCUGGGGGUUUGCUCCUGGUUCUGCGAGAGGGAGAAAUAAUUUUGUCGGGGCACGCGUGCUGCGAGGGCAGAGUCAGUGAGCCGGCUCCGACUUCGGCGCACCGCCCUUCUGGCAGACGAUUUCCCACCGUUCAGAAGUCGGGAGUUAAAGGACCGCACGCUGCACCUUUGUCCCCCACCCCGUUUUCCCCGCGCACUGAAAAGAAAUGGGGUGGGGGAGGGCUUCCAACUCGGUUUCUCCAUCUCCACCACCUUCCAAACCCACCCUCCAAAUCCGCGUUUUGUUCUUGCCAGCCACGUGUUUCUCGAAUUUUUACUUGCGAUUUUUUUUUCUUUCCAUGGAUCUACAGAAAUCUGAAUACUAUAAGCCAUCAGUUGCUGAGUAGACAAAAAGUGUUUUCUAUCCAAGAAGGUGGGCGAUAUCUGUAUUCCACCCCCCAAUUCCUCCGACCCUAUCUGUUUCAGACUCUUAAUACUUGGUUCUUGACAUAAACAAUUUUAAACAAACCAACGAGUUUCCACUGCCUGCCACAUAGUAGGUAUUCAAUAAAUAAUUUCUCUUAAGUGAAAAGCAAGCUAAUACAAGCUGUAGAGCGAAGAAAAUUAAGAGGCUAGGGGGAAAAAAUUAUCUUGGCCAGAAUGUGUGGGUCUGUUGCCCGGGGACUCUUCUUGGUGCUGUGUGUUUACUUUUGAAAGGGCUAAAAGAUGGUCUCAGAAAGGCUGUUGUGUUCCUUGGCCUUUCCCUAAAUAGGAACCCAGCUUCCUGAAACCUUUUCUGUUACAUUGGGGAACAAGGAAGAGGGUACUCG